rnacentral:lncRNA from 1 species
CUACAAUUUGUGGGUCAUCAGGGUGCAAUGACUGCAGCUCCUGCCUUACAGACUCUAUGCAGACAUUAUGCUCAGCCGACAGCUGAACAGCUAGUACCUCUCCUGUUGCCUUCACAGCUCUCCCCAAAACAGCACGCGAAUCACCAAGGUUGGCAACAUAAAGGGUUCCACCACAGAUAACACCAACCAGGCAGCAGGAUCCAACAGCUGCGAUUUGUGGUUUCAUAGGCCACUGUUUGGUAACAAGAGACAAAAAACCUUCUUCUGUUGCUUGAUAUGCUUUUCGUAUCACAUCAACUGACAUUGUCUGUUGCUCUGAAGUUAACCCUGAACAUAGAAAAUAUUUCAGAAUAACAAACACCAUCGAUGCCAAAGUGCAUGAAGGAAAGAAAGAACAAGUAGAGAUAUCUCUGAUGUUUGCAAUUUUAUUUCUUUCUUUUAGUAUUAUAUACCAGGCUCUACAUCUACCAAUUGGAAUUGACACACAAAACGACAAAAGUGAUCAAAAAGAACUGAUGACUUUUUGGACUCAAAACAAAAAACCCUUAACUGUGGCAGCAACAAGUUCACUACACUAAUUAGUUUUAAUCAAUUAAUUAUAUCCAAAACAAUUGCUUAUUUAAUACUUCUUUCCUCUACUUCCUUAAUCAGUAAAUAGACGGCAACAGAAACUAAACCCUAGGAAAGGCAAAAGUACUUACUCUUGAGAUGUUGAAAGAGAUGAUCAUUGAUGUAGCGCGAAGUCUCUGGGCCCCCAUGCCCAUCAUAUACGCCAAUAAAAGUACCAUAGGGACCCAACUCAUGUGAACUCAAAGAACCAGACGCAAGCUGGCUCUGGUCCUCAAGUAAAUUGUUGGCUUGAACCACUGCCAUUGAGAACUCACCACUAAAGUGCUGCCCUGUGUCCUUGUACCACAAAAGCCCAUCUUGGCGACCUCCAGCAUCUGAACUUGUGUGAACGUAUCGAUCAGACCUUGGCCGAAAACAGGCCCUCAAAAAGUUCAUCAACCCAGAUAACAUCCCUCAUCUCAUCCAAAAAACCCUCCGAAUUCUCCACAUCUAAAUAACCACUGAAUACAAACUAUACCCUAGAAGCCUGAACAGUGAACCGUAUCCUCCUUUGCUUCUCAACACAAUAAUUGUACACUAUACCAACAUCAGCAACAACGCACACCCAAAAGGUUAGCAAUAAUGCAAUGUGCCAUAAAGGCUCAAAAGCAACUAAACCAAGAAAACGACAACUACAAAUUAUAUGUUCCACUACUCCUCAAGGGGCAAUUAACAGCAUCAAUCAGAAAGUACAAUAAAUUCGAUUACUAUAUAAUGAAUAACUAUCAGAUCAAAUAAAUGAUGUAGUAGAAGCCACCUCUCUCAGUUUGUUUAGUUAUUAAGAUUAAGCUCAAACAACAGAAACUGUUCCCUCUUUAAACAGGAAGGCCAUGACCGUAAUAGCUCCUUUUGCUGAAAAAAUCAACAAAACACAAAGGAGGGGUUUUUGAAAACAACGGAAUUGGUCAAAGCUCACUUUUUCUUUCUUUUUUUCUAACAAAGCAGUCGGUCAGCCCUUGGGAAAUCCAGAAGGUCUAAUAUUUCACAUUGAGAAUUUUAAACAGCCCAGUUUCACGUAUCCCUUUAGACCCAAUAAGCAUCAUAAUUCAACUUGUAUUUCCCACACUAAAUAUUAAAAAAAGAAGAAGAAGAAACUUACCUUUUCAUUUGACCCCUUUGGUUUAUAAUUGAAAAGGAGGAUCUGGAAAUGGGAAAGGGAAAAACUUCAUGUGGGCAUGAAACUGGAAUUAGCAGAUCUAUGGAUCAAUCAAAUCAAAGCAAGAGAAAAAACAAAGUUUGGAAUUUGGUUGGCUUCAACUAGUGAUGAGAUAAUUGGAGAAGAUGAAGGAGGAAAGCACAUAAUAGAGAAAUGGUUGAGUUCUUUUUUUUUCUCUUUAAUUUCUCUUACGAAAAAAGAGAAGUCUUUUUAUGUGAAAGAUUUUGGCUUUGGCCCCCAACAACUUACAUAAACUCUCUUUCUCUCUCCUUUCUAUCUUGCUUUUCCAUCUCCCUCUUGUGUCUCCCUCUAAUUCUCAGCAGACAAGACCAUAAAAGACCAACAAUGGAGAGCUUGAAGCCAGCAAAGCAAUGGUCCAGUUUUGGGCUCCACACCACUAUGGUAAUAGAGAGAGAGGAAAUUAGAAAAAGAGAGAGAGAGAGAGAGAAGAUUCACAGCUUGGAGAGAGUCAAUGAAAUCAAGUUUUGUGGACUAUGGUAUUCAACAUCACCACAUAAGAUGAAAGGGAUCACACGUGGCAGCACAGGUUGCUUGCCACGAACGUUAUUAUUACCGGUGUUACGGUGUAUUCAUCUACAUCCACUAAGUUGCUACACGUGUUAAUUUCUGGAUAGUAGGAUGAAAUCUUCAUGCGUAUGGCGGUGGUCGUUAUUACAGGUUACUGUUAGAAACGGAGUAACAGCGUCAAACCUCGCUCGCUCCAUCGUUAAAACUCAAAGCCUGUUUUUGUUUGUCUAUGGAUUCGAUCAGGGGAAUUCGGAGAAAAGGGCCAAUAGCAUGCCUAGAAUGUUACAUUCUGAGGGUAUUUUCGUCACUAAGGAUGCGGGUGGAUGAUUUUUAGGUGGCUUGUUUGUUUAACAAUCUGUUGGGUAAAGCAAUUCAUGAAAUUCAGAGCCUUUUUCUAGCAAGAUGGAUUUUUUAAAUUGUCAAAUUUAGAAAGAUUUUUUUUUUCUCUACAUCAAUUCAUUUUGGAGGUUUAGACAAUGUGGACCGAUGCCAUGUAAUAGCCUGGAUGAGUUUAGUUGAGUUCUCUGCACAAAAAUGAGCAGAGUCAAUGAUUUCUUUAAAUGAGAUGAAUGUCUAACAUUGAUCGAAUACAGCUUAUAGUAGAGGAUAUAUUCAUAAUAAUUUUUCUGUUUUGUAAGGUAUAGCAUAUGCUUGUGAUGUCACAAAAGCAGAGCAUAAAGACUCAGAAAUUUCCAGCUUUAGUAAGCAAAAAGAAAUGAUUGCAAGGUUUGAUGUUUAACAUCUUGGCCCAGAGAGGAUGACGAAGAAACAUAAACUGUGACAUAGCAAACAUCCAAAUGAACAAUGACAAAAGCCAAAGAAAAUUAAGAAAUUGAAAGGAAAUUCAAACAAGUUUCAGUUGAUGGAAAAAGCAUUGUCAAUUCUCUUCUGGCAUGCCAAGACUAGGUAAACAAAUUUUACAGGUAAUUACAAGUCAAUAACCCAUGCAGUUAACUAAAACUAGACAUAAAAGGGGAUUAUUCUACAUAAAUAAAUGGCAAAGAUUAACAGUAUAAGGCCCAAGGAAGAAGAUUAUGGACAACAAGUUACAGAUGUUUCAACUCUUGGGACAAAGGUCGCAAGACAAGGAUCAACAGAAACAAGGAAAGGAAAUCCCACUUAAAACCCAGAAGAAAAAAUUAAAUCCCAAUUAAAAAUAUUAUGUCAUCAACCCUGAAGAAAAGCUGGCUUAAAAUCAAAACCAAGGCUAAUGCAAAGCUAGCCUGAGACCAGACAAGAGAAAUUCCUCGUAGCCACAUUGUCCUCCCUUUUUUCUCAUUAAACCCACAAAUUUCAAGCAGAAGAUAACUUCAAAGGCAAAUUAACAAUUUUUGCAGAACAAAAUAAACCCACCUAAAUAUUCUUCAAAACCAGGUUGGUGUAGAUUAAAAAGCAGCGAGAAUGUUGCAAAUAAAGAUAGAACACAAGUGAAGCUCAAAAUGUGUCAAGGGGGAAAAGGAAAAGUACCCACCGAUUGAUUUCCUCCAAACCAGAUUGCAAAUGAACCAUAUUAGCCUCUAGCAUUCUUGAGACAUCCUUCCCAGAAUCAUAAGCCCUAAUGAAAUGAUCCUCAAUAUCCUUCACGGCUUCUAAAAGCUCCCUUUCCUUUUCUGGGCUGUCAAUAACUGUAAGCCCCUUCUGCUCUCCUUGGCUCACAUGAGUCUCCUCCUUAACUUUAAUCAGACCACUUUCACUCUCUUCAUGCUCCCUGCAGCUAGUAUCUUUUUCUUCAACAAAGACAACUUUUUUCUCUUCCUCUUUGCUAUCUCCUACCUCUUCUAGAUCUGGUAUCCCUUCCUCUUCUCUCACCGCUCUUAAAUCAUCAUCAGAACACCUGUUAUACCCACUUAUAAUCUCUGGUCUAACAACAUCAAAUGGAUUAAAAAAGUCCCAACCGAAAUCUCUUUGUGGUGAUGGCAUUGGCGGUGGCAUUUGCAUAUAAAAGUACCCACAAGGUUGUUCUUCUUCUUCUCCUCUUUACCACCUCUUCUUUAGUGUCUUCCUCUGAAGUACCUGAGCUUGUUGAAGAAUAACAAGACUCGCAAGCAAUGGCUUCAUGGGUUGACUCUGAAGGUGUUUGUUGGAGGAACAUUGUGUUGGUUAUCACAUUUUGAUCUGUAGCUGGCGGUGUAGGUGGAGGAAAGGUGAAGAAGGUGAAGAAUGGCGAGCUACAAAGAGCUUAAUAGCAGCUGCCACUGCAUAAAGAGCUUGACAGUACCUACAAUGUGCUUCUGCAGGUGCAUAUCUUCUAUCUCUGCUAGCUUUAUAAGGCGUUUUCUUUCUCUACAGAUUGACACAACUUCUUCUUGUUCCUCUAGUCUAGAAGCAACACUGCCCAUCUCCCUUGCUAAAGCCUGGAGGUGUUUUUCUGGUUUCAACAGGCCUAGAAGCUACUACUUUUGAAUAAAUGGGGACAGUGUAAAGUAAAGAAAGGUGAUCCUUGGAAGGAAUCAAUAAGUAUUAUUUUCUGAUAAAACGGAGGUGGGGUUGUAACAAAAUGGAAGAAUGAGUUAGAUUUUACAAAGGUUUGAGAGAAUCAAAGAAGGAAAAUGUAGCUUUUGGGGAAUUUUUAGAAUAAGCCACUUCAUCUUUUGAUAAGAAAAAAAAAGUUGGUUUCCUUCCUGAAACGUAGCUCCUGCAAAAGUUUUAUAUUUUCCCAUUUCAUCUCUUGGCACCAUGCACCCACAUACGAAAAGAAUCCUACAGAGGUGGUUCCUCCUUGUAUUUUCUUUUUACCUUUAUUCCUUGAGAGGGGAAAAAAUUCUUUUCCUAUGCUGAAAUGUUGAUAAUUAUCCGUUAAAACACUCUAAUUAGUUUGAGAUUAGUAGACAAACUAAAUAUCAUGAAGAGUGAAAGAGUAAGUAGAGCAGUAGAUGACAGAGUAAAGGCCAGGAAAGAGACUAGAUGGUAAGGUAAAGAAGGUAGGGGCUCGAGAAGGAGAGAGAAGGGACAGCUCUAGUGUUUGGUAUUUUUACACUAUAAAAUUGGUGUGCAACAAUGGCAAGCACCCACUAUAUCAUUUUUAGUGCAAUAAAAAGAUUAAAAAAAUAUUUCUGCCAAAUUUAGCGCAGAUUUUUGAAGCAGACAUAUGUCCAUUGGGCAGUCUUGUGAGUAAAAAGAGGAGUCAAAUGUACUAUAGUUAAUUAGUAGUAAAAGGAUAGCGACCAGACCACUGCCAAAACCACACAGAGAGAGAGAGUUCUGUCUUUUCCUUAGGUAUCCCUGUUUUUUUUAACUGCUCCUUCCUCCCUUGCAAUCCUCUCUAGUCUCUAAUAAUGGGAGUAUAAUUGUGUUACCUACCACAUGUUUAAGGCCUUUAAUGAAUUGUUAAGUGGAGGAAUUUACAAAAGCAGAAGGUUUAAGCUUGUCUGUCAGUGUCAUUUACUGCUACAUGGACAAAUCUGUUCCUUUGAAAGUUUUAGGCUGGCUCUCUCUCUCUCUCUCUCAAAACUGGGAUUUUGGCAAUAGCACUAUAUUUUGCAAGGAUUUAGAGUUCUGGGUGGUGUGGUAUGGAAAAGAAGGUUCCUGUUUGGUCCAUAAAUGAAUAAUGUGAUGCCAGAACUACUGACAAUUCCACAUGAACUUGCAGGUUUUUUUUUUGGAAGUCAUUCAGUAAGAUUUCAUUAAAGAAGAAAGGGGGAGAGAAGUUCCCCAAUUCAGAAACAGACCUUGGUUGCAGGACAAAACCACAGAUAUUGGAAGAUAUGCUCACUAACUACCAGGUAUAACCCCCAAUAUCCCAUGGCCCGAACAGCCCUGUCAGGCAUCAGUCCCUCCAGAACGAAGAACAGACACCAGGAGAACCCAAAAUCCUCCCAAAAAACCUCACUCCCGCAACAACAGAAAACAUGCAGGAGAAAGAACAAGACCCCAAAAUCAUGUACAAAAACCACCCAACAACAAGUAUCCCCUACAAAGCACCCAGGGGUUGAGCUAAAGACCUAUCUAAAUUCCAUAAGCCUGUACACAUAUGAAUUCCUAAGAACAUAAAAACGUAUCAACCUUUGAAACCUAACUGACCAUCGGUCCAGGAAGACCUCCCUGCAUCAAGACUCAUCUUCAAACAAUAGUUCUGACAGUUCAGCUUUAGCAAACAAUCACACAACAUCAGAAAGACCACAACUCGCCUUAAACAGAAAAAAAAAAGAGAUCAACAGCUUACGUGAAGAUUCUCAAGAUGUCAAACUGAAGGUGAGCACCCUCCUUUGCUAAAGCAUCAGCUCUCUGGUUUGCCUCUCUCUGGCAUGUUGAAUCUCCCAUCCCUCCAAUCCUUCUUUCAAACUCUCCAAUUGUAGAACCACUUUUCUCAUUCUCCACGGAGCCGUAUCGGGAUGAGUCGUCCACUUUACCGUAUUGCCCGAAUUGCUCUCCAUGAGGAGUUUAUAAUUAUCCUUCCAUCUUGAAGCUGAGAAAAUCGUAAACGCUUCCCUCACUGCCAUCAUCUCGGCCCAAUUAGAGUCCGCCUCACCUAUAGCUUUGGAGAAGAUGAUUUUGACUUCCCCUUUAUGAUUCCUCAAGAUCUCUCCGAUACCAGCAGGCCCCGGACAUCCUCUAGCUGUUCCAUCGACGUUGGAUUUCAAUUGCCCCUACAAGUUUUUUUCCCCAUUAAAUUCCCUUCCUUUCCUUACCCUUCUUUGCCUCCUGGCCUUGAGUUGGGGGCUGUCUAUACACAUCAAGCACUGUCGGAUAUUCCCUUGGCCAUUCAGCGUACGCCCAAAAAGCCACCCUAAUCCUAGCCAACUCCAAGACAUGAUCCAUGUUCCAUUCUUUGCCUUGACACACAGUUUCAUUUCUACUUUUCCAAAUAGACCACACAACUGCAAAGAAUCCCAUUCUCCAAAGUGUGACAUCUAACUCUCCCCACUGCCACUUGUUCCACACAACAAACAGGUCCUUUACAUUUGCCGGGAAUACCCACAUCGUGCCCCAUAUCCUGCACCAUCCUGCCCAAAUUUUCCAUGAUUCAUUACAAGUUGCAAAAAAAUGAUCACAAGUUUCCCUAUCAGCAUUACACAAAACACAUUGCAAACUAUUGUUCAAGUUCACUCCCCUUUUAACAAGUUCAUCCAUAACUCUUAUUUUCCCUUGUAGCAUUUGCCACACAAAAACCUCAACUCUAAAAAGUGCUAGGUUAGCCCACACUAUGAACUUGCAGGUUAUAAUUAACCUGAAUCAUGCAAGGUGCCAUCAGAUUCAUUUUACUUUCAAAAAAAACGUCCUGAUAGAUAUGUUACACAUCAUCUGGGUUAAUUAAGUUAAACUAUGGAUUACCAAUAAGAUUCAAAUUUGAUAUUAGUAGCCAUCCAAACCAUAAAACUGGCAUAUUUAUCAAGUAUUGGAAACUGAAUUAAGUUUCUUCUUCUAUACUCAUAUUCAAAUGAUGCAUUUAAGAAAUUAUACACCAUGAUUGAUUCUAACAGGAUUUCAGAUGAUUAAACUUUCAAACGAAUAGGAAAAGAAAGAAGGAAAGAAAGUACAGAAGAAGACGGUGCUGAAAUUACUGCUGAAACUCUUUCAAGUCAAAGUAUUGUUAAGCACAAUCCCAACACCAAAACUCUUUAUAACUAAUUUUGUCACUCACUGCAAUGCCUUUGGCUUUGUUUUCCUCUUGUCUAGUCCUGUUCCGCUCAGAGUUCAUUGUUCAGGUUUAAGUUGUUUCGUACUUCAUCUAAACCAUUUUCUCUCUCUUUUUUUUUUUAACAUCCUGAAUUUUAUAUUUUAUUUUUAUAUCACAAACCUUUUACUUCCUAAAUAAAAAUAUUUCUUCAUCAUAUCUUUUGAAAAGCUUCAUUUCUUUCAUUUAAUCAGGCUAACAAACUGAACUUACAUGGAUUUACAAGCAAAAAAGAGUUGAAAAAAAUCGAUUUUCUUAUGCUAGUCAUGUCAAUCUCAACUUUCUUGAGUAAGAUUGAAAGUAUUAUAUCUGAGUUAACAUGACACCAAGGCUGGGCCAGUGGUCGAAGAGCUUUGUGUUCAUGGUCCAUUGGUGGUUUGCUUUAUUUAUUACUUGCUCAAGAUCCUGUAAUGACUAAUGAGCUUAAUGGCUUGGAAAUUGGUGCCACAGGCCUUAGGGUUGGAGAAGUUAAAUGAAUAACACAGGAAGGGCAAUUUAGGUGAGGCAAGGGCUAACACAAAUACGCAAGUUAGGAUUUAUGCUUUGUGGGUUUUGUGAGGAUGUGCCCUGACACAAUCUGACAACAUAGGGAGGGAUAAGGCCCCUUUUCUCACCUAGGAAUUCCCUACUUCCUCCACUUUGAAUAACCAAGUUUGGUUUGCCCCAAAAAUAUGUGUUAUUCACUUUGAAUAGAACAAGAAUCAAGAGUUGGAUGGCAAGAAAUGAAAUAAGUCAAUAAAUAACAACUGUGCUUUCUGUGUUGCAGGGAGUGGAAGAGUUGCCUUUUUUUUUAAUCUUCGUUUUCCCUUCUUUAACCAUUUGGACUUGAGGACAGAAUAAGAAUAUGAGAGAGUUAAAAAUCUUGGGACAACCUCAACCUGACUGCAAAUGUCCUGUACUACUAUUGAACAACCACUACGUUGUUGGACAUGGAUGGUUGGGCUUACUCUCCAAUUUCCACCAGACAGGUGGACGACCUGAACAGACAAUAAUCCCUGCUAGAUUCUGGAUUAGGAAACCUGAAAUAUGGAGUUGUUCCAGACUAGUUUCAUUCCGGGUGAUGUAAUGACCUCCACCACCACACCCAAUCUGACAUCAAUAUAGAAUUCCAACACUGUUAACAGUUGUGAAGCAGGUAUGCCAGGUUUCUACAGAAUCUUGAUGGAAGCUUGAGAAGCCUAACAUUCAAUUUAUUUAGUAGUACUUGAAAAGUAUCCUUCCUUAGAGGUACAAGAUGGGCUGUUUGUUUCCUUUAUGCAAUGAAUUUUCCUGGUUACCUCCAAAAGAUUUUGAUAUGGAUACAGCAAUUCUUUUCUAAAUGCACAAGGAACAAUUUCCAGAGUCCUGUUUCCCAGAAUUAAAGAAGACUAUCAGAGAAAUGGAUAAACGAAAAGGUUACACGAUAAAAACAUAAGGGGAGGAAAAGAUCAACCAAGUAGACUAGGGGCCGGGGGAUUUCACCAAUGUUUGAUAUGUCGGCCAUUUGUCUUACUAGAGCCCGGCACGAGAUAAUUCCACAUUGAACACCAAUUGCACCAUUACCUCGCUACGGACAUAUAAUCACCAUGAAAUAAUUGCUUCCAACACUGUUGUCCAUUUGCCCCUUUACACAACCGAAACUGUCCGCCACGUUAGAAUCAGUAAAGAUGUUAAUAUGUUGGUAUUAUGUGAGAGUGAAAAGCAAACAGGAAUGUGAAAUAUAUUCUGCACAUUGUGGGAUUCACAACAUCAAAGAGACAAAUGCACCAACUGAAGAACAAAAGGAGACUAUUAUAUAAAGACUAAGAAAACUAUCCCAGGAAAUCUAUAACAUACUUAAAAGGAAGCCCCAAAGGGGCUUCCUCUUCUAGCCACGUGGAGGGCAUAGGAAAAAAGAGAAAAAAAAAAGAAAAAAUAAGGUAGGAAGAGAAAGGAAAAAACAGAUAGAAAGAAGCCCGUGUGCAACGCACAGGCUAUAAUCUAGUAAACUAUAAUAGUCGUCACCUCGUACUCUUCUCUAGUUCUGUUUAGGGGUUUUUUUCUCUGGCACAGAGGCUAAAUGCAGGUAUUAGUUUCCAGUUAAAAGUUACAGUGUACAUUAAAGAAUUGAAGGCUUGCUCCUCUUCUCGCUUUCGGAAGCUACCUCGUAUUCACAUAAGAGAAUGAUACAACAAAGCAAAACAUGCGAUACGACGUGAUCAGGUACUGCCAGCUUCUGUUGGCGUGGUACAAGGAGCCAGUAUAUUAGGAGGCAAGUUAACUCCUCCCCCUCUAACAGAUAGAUUAGGAGCCUUAACUGAGCUAGCCCUGCUCACCUGGUUUGAGUCAAGAAACACCACAAUUACUGUAAUGUCAUCAUGGAAAUGCCGCCGGACACCACGAUCAAUCUUCUUCAAGUCAGAAUACCUCAUUUCUCUCUUCUUUGCUGCUUCUUGUAGAGCAGUUUUUACAAGCCUCCUUGCAAUUCCCUGCAUGAAGUCCACAACAAAAUGUUAAUUUUCUCCUCUUUUAGAACCCUGUUUUAAGAUUAACUUCACAUCAUCAAUAAAAUGCAAAUGCAACAAUAUAUCUAUAAAUGAAUUUAUAACUCAAAAUCAUACAAGGAAAAUGAAAUAAACAAAUAUUACAUGACAAACAGAACCUUGUUCCUGCCCCCUCUACACAACUACAAAUGCAUGAGCAUGCGUGUGUGUGCUACAUGUGUGUGAGUAAAUUGUCCCAUGUGUAUGCAUGCAGUAAAAACCACUCAAAAGAAAAGGCACACUGUUCAUAACAGAGCAUAUUGCCUUUCAUAAUUGGUCUAGAUUGAAUAAAAUGUGAACUAGAAAGUCGUGUUCAUACUGGUUGACUUGUUCUAGUUGAGCUAUUUGGCUUAUGAAUUAAAGUGGUAAUUGUCAAGCAGCAGUAAUAGGAUGGAAAAUUGAACAAGCAGUCAUGGCACUUCAAGUUAUACGCCAUAGCUCACACAACAAAAGGAAAGGUUCCCAAGAUAACUAAUUAAAGCUUCAUUAAAAACUAGAACUCCAAAAUCUAUUAUCGGUGACCAACAAGAAAAGCUUUCAUACUCUAACCAAAUGAAAAUGUCAGCAGCAUAGGAGAAAAGAAUACUGUUCAUAAUAAGAUUAACAAUAUUUGACAUUCAGGCAUAAACUUACACUUCGUGGGUGAUUUUGAACUAUAUCAACAGCUUCUUGAUUGCUUAGGUGCUCCCAGAGCCCAUCAGAUGCAAAUAUCACGAAUUGAUCAUGUGGCUGCAGCUGGUGCACUGAUAUCGAUGGGUCCGCACUCAAUAUUGGCUUUUUGAAAGGUUCCCGAAGCCGAAAUUUGGGAUAUAAAGGCUCCCUGUUGAACUCAGCUUUUUUUAAAUAUACAUCACCGAUAGAUCUAGAAACCUGAAAGGCCAAGAAUUCCAUUAAUAAACUCUCACAAAGAGUAAGAGGCAGCAGAACAAACCAUGGAAAACCAUAGCAAGGAAAUUAUAAUCUUGCACUGCUGGACAAAUUGCAUGCACUUGUUAAAUGUACUAAACCUCUCUAUCUCUCAUUUGGGGGAACAAGGGGUUGUUUUUAGUAAUCUUAUCACAGAUAGAAUUAAGACACUGCACACAUUCUGGUCUAGUUCAAGGUUUGACAAAAAGUAUAGCAGUUGUAGCAGGAAAUUUGCACAGAAAGGAGAAUUGCCCAUUGCAGCAAUAGAAUCUCUUCACAUAUGAAAUCCAAGAAAUAGUCAUGCUUCUAGGUUCACAAUAUUUUUGAGAAGCUUUACAAUAUUUAUAAGGAUUCUGAUUGACAAAUGAGCACUUGCUGGGAAGUUUCUCAACCAAUUGACUAAGCAUCAGAAACCAGUUUAAACCAUCACUCAGAAUUUUUACUUAUAAUUCAUUCUCUCUUUAAAACCUGGCAAUCAUAUAACUGUAAAACACGGGGUAAUUAAAACCUAGCACGUCAGGAUAUUUCCUUUCGCCAAUCCUCUUUGGAAACAAAGCUCAUAUACCUGUACAGAGCUGAAAAGUCGUACAGCUAAAGUGAUUCCCUAAUAAAGCCUAAAGUACAAAAGUAACCAACUCCAGGAUCACCACUAAGCUUAUUAGUUCCAGACCUGGAAUAUAUGGAUAAGUGUUAUCCAUGGAUGACCAUCAAAUCACUUUCUUGCAAGAGAUCAACAUACAAUCCAACAAAAUUUUUAGAUUCCAUCAUUUUAUGCAACAGUAAAUUAUGCUAUUUUAUCCCUUUCCAUCAACUUUGAUAAUUACUAAGUUCUCUCAUAGUCAAAGAUUUUUCUUAUUUCCCUUUCUCUUUUGGCUUUGCAGAUACAUCCAUGCAUCCAACUGAAUAAUCGGCAUCCUUCCCCUCCUCAGCUCCACACUAUCUUUACCACAUGGGAGGAGAAGAUACCAUGCAGCUGAUAUAUCUAUUUCUUUCUAACAAAUUAAACCCCUUUUUUCUCCGGAAAACUGUCCUUGGAAAUGUAACCAUAUAAAUACAUCUUCACUCCAAAAACAUUAAAGACCUGUUUUCAGUUUUCACUUUUCAAAAAGUAAGCACAAGUGGAUAAAACAUUGCCCCAGGUUCAUGCCUUACUUUAAGAGUUUAUUACAAAUCAAGCUAGCUAAAACAAACUUUCAAAUAUUCAGAAUUCAUAAACAGCAUGCUCUAUAGUGCUCAACUUGGACAAGAACUGGUUCAAGCUCUCUAUGCGUCUUGCAGCACAGAUGAAUAAAAUUAGUACUUGCUCCUUUUUUGCAAAUGGCUAUUCUUGUAAACAAAGGUGAUUUAAGCCACAAGUAGAAGCAAGUUUCAAUGUCACCGCUACGCAAAAGCAUCAAUGUUUAAAAAUGGCGACAUUAAUUAGUCAUCUUAGCAGUUAAGUAACUAUUAAAAUUAAAAAUUGUUUGCAUAGUGAAACUUACCUGUAUGAGACCUUUUACACGCCAUACAUUGUACUUCAAAACUACAAUUUGUGGGUCAUCAGGGUGCAAUGACUGCAGCUCCUGCCUUACAGACUCUAUGCAGACAUUAUGCUCAGCCGACAGCUGAACAGCUAGUACCUCUCCUGUUGCCUUCACAGCUCUCCCCAAAACAGCACGCGAAUCACCAAGGUUGGCAACAUAAAGGGUUCCACCACAGAUAACACCAACCAGGCAGCAGGAUCCAACAGCAGCAAUUUGUGGUUUCAUAGGCCACUGUUUGGAAACGAGAGACAAGAAACCUUCUUCUGUUGCUUGAUAUGCUUUUCGUAUCAC